GACAGAGGAGGCGAGCGUUAUCCGGAGUUAUUGGGCGUAAAGGGUACGUAGGCGGCUAGUCAAGUCUGGGGUUAAAGACCACAGCUUAACUGUGGGGGGGCCUUGGAAACUGACCAGCUGGAGUGGGGCAGGGGUUGCAGGAAUUCCCGGUGUAGCGGUGAAAUGCGUAGAUAUCGGGAAGAACACCUGAGGCGAAAGCGCGCAACUGGGCCCUAACUGACGCUGAGGUACGAAAGCUAGGGGAGCGGAUGGG
rnacentral:rRNA from 1 species